rnacentral:lncRNA from 7 species
AUCUUGCUAGAGAUCCCUGUGUACCUGUGGCCUUUUGAUGAUAAGUGUCCAGAACAACUGCAUACCCCAGGGGGCUUUGUGUUCAGAGAGGAGAUAUAACUUCUGGUAACAUCACCUGAUGUCCCUUUUUUCCUUCAGCUCUACUCCCUGCUGCUCGACCCAACUGCGUGUCUCACUUCAAAAUUAUGACUUGAGAUCUGGAUCCUGUUCCCAGCUUUGAUCAUUGCUGUUGUUUUUAAUUACUUGUGGUCCCCCGAUUCUCCUUUCCGGAGAUGCAGAUCUGCAGAUUCCUCUGCCCUGCUAGUCACAGAAGUGGGCCAAACCAGCCUGUAAACUGUUGACAAUUUUUAAGUAUCAACAGAAUAAGGAACUUGCAGAAACAGCACUGUUUCAUUUGGAGGCCAGAAGUCUGCUCUGUUGAUAACAUAGUCUCCAUGCUCUUUCAAUUACAAAACCCUGUGCUAUCGUGUUAUGGGAUAGAAUGAGUACCUGAAGGCGUGCUUGAAAUUUUAAAGGUUGCUCCAAAAGGAAUGCCUCCUGUUUAUUUCCAUGGAAACUGCAAAGAGCACAACAAUGCUAUGAGCUACAAUUCUCAGCCAGAAAACACUGUAUUUCGACAUAGUCACCACUAUUAGCUAUACAUUUUCAACAGCAAUGAACAGGAACCUUCAUGCUGUGCUUGUAGCUAUCUGGAACAUGGUUUGUCUUUCACACCACUGUUGCCAAUGCUGAAGUGCAACACCCACCACCUCGCUAUGUUCACAUCCACUUUUUGGUCUCCACGAGUCUUCCACAAACAUUAAUCAAUGUCAGCUGGUGCCAUUUUUCUGCAUAGAGGAAUUCAGUGACAUACCUUUGCUUCAUCUACACUUCCAUGUCAGAUGCCACUUUUUCCAGACUGCCCCUCUGCUGUCAUCUGUCACAUGGCAAAAAUAAAUAAAUAAUGUAAUGGAGUAUGGGUGGGAAGGUUCAACCUCUACUGCCUAUCACAACUAUCCGUCUCUCAUGUUGUGGGCCAACGUAAUAAAAUAGGAGGUCUUCAUUUCAGAGCAGCUAUCAGAAAAGAAUAUGGUGGUACUGGGAAGGAGGAGCCAAUGUGACAUAUAAACAGUAAGACCUUUAAGAUGUAAAAUGUAUAGUAAAUAUGACAGGAAUGAAUAAAGGCUCUCUACAACUUGAAAGUUGAUAGUUAACGCAGGUUUACCUUUAAGUUGUCAAUACAGUAACUUUCACUGAUGAUAUAAAUUCAUUCCUGUUUCAUGACAUGAAUAGAAGCUAACCAAAAAUAGCUGUAGUUGUUUAAACUGGAAGUGAUAUAUGCACAUAAUUAGAGGGAAAAAGAUGAAAGCUGAAUAAAUAGACAAAAUUCCUUAUUCCACAUAUAAACAGAUAUUGUGAUACUGUAAGAAUGGUUCAUUCAUGUCAUCUGGGUGUAGAAAGUAAUGCUCACAUUUGAUGGUAUGGCUGAAUAAAAGUGAUUGCAAUAUUCCAAAAUCCCAUGUAAAUAUAUACUUCAGCACUCCUGUACAGGAAGGUUAAUGGCUUAGAGCCAAGGUGUAACAAAUGGGCUCUUCUCAUAUGAGCUGCAACCAAUUUUAGUUCACACAAUGAAUAAUGGAGAAACAAAUGGAAAGAGAGCAGAUUUUGCCUCUGUGUCACAUAAAUAAGUCUGAAUAACAACAGUUUUUGCUUUGAUUCUGUGUAAGCUAAACUGAAAUCAGAUAAAUAUUUCAUAACAAGGUAGAAUUUAGUCCAGAGAAUACCCACUAGUGUAACCAAGUGGGACACAGGUUGUGUGAAUGAAAUUCUCAUUGUCCUGUAGUCUAUAAAAAUAUAAUAAAUAAUAAAAGC